GAUGAAGAACGUAGCGAAAUGCGAUAAGUAAUGUGAAUUGCAGAAUUCAGUGAAUCAUCGAAUCUUUGAACGCACCUUGCGCCCUUUGGCCAUUCCGAAGGGCAUGCCUGUUUGAGUAUCAUGAACACAUCAACUCUUUAUGGUUUUCCAUGAUGAGCUUGGACUCUGGGGGUUUUGCUGGCUCACAGUCGGCUCCUCUAAAAUGAAUCAGCUUACCAGUGUUUGGUGGGUAUCAUGGGUGUGAUAACUAUCUACGCUUGUGGUUUUUCCACCAGGUAACCUUCAGCAGUGGAGGUUCGCUGGAGCUCAUAGAUGUCUCUCCUCAGUGAGGACAGCCCUUUGAAUGUUUGAUCUCAAAUCAGGUAGGACUACCCGCUGAACUUAAGCAUAUCAAUAAGCGGAGGA
rnacentral:misc_RNA from 1 species